UCUGGGUCCAUAAGGACAAACAGACAGUUUGACCCGAGUAUAAAUAUUACUACAGAAAUCCCAUUAGCCUCAGACAGAGUUGAACACAUUACCAGAAGAUUUAAUCUCUUUACUUACCAAGAACACACAAAGACUUCAGAUGGCAUCUCUUUUGAUGUACCUGAAGCAGCCGAGUUGCAUCUACAUAUGUGCAUGCCUGUGGGUGGCAUAUCUUGCUGUGGGAAAUGCAGAGGGAAUGUUACAACUCAAAGCUGAUGAGAUUAGGACUGUAUCUGAAGAAAGUGUAAGGGCACCCAGAGGAAUUGUGAAUACUCAAGAUGCUGACAUGGCUGGACAUG